AAGGGCACGUGUCGUUGGCUAAGCCGUCGUGGCGGAAGGUCACGGUGGCCGCCUUGAAUUACAAUUCCGAUCGAGCGGCGAGCUGAAUCCUUUGCAGACGACUUAAAUACGCGACGGGGUAUUGUAAGGGUAGAGUGGCCUUGCUGCUGCACGAUCCUCUGAGAUUCAGCCCUUUGUCGCUACCGAUUCGU
rnacentral:ncRNA from 1 species